rnacentral:lncRNA from 1 species
GCAGAACGUGAUAUUUUAUACCAUUGAAUAUUGAAGCCAUAGUCAUGAAGAUCGAUUACUUGAUUGGUGUUCCGUUAACGUAGCCGCAAAACAAAAACUCGAGAGCUACUUUUGAAUAUUUCUACAAUUUUAAGUAGUUUUCAACUCACAAACACAAUAAUAUUUUCAACAUUUAUUAAAAUAAUUUUUUUUUACAUUUUU